GCUAUCAUGCAAGUCGAGCGGACAGAUGGGAGCUUGCUCCCUGAUGUUAGCGGCGGACGGGUGAGUAACACGUGGGUAACCUGCCUGUAAGACUGGGAUAACUCCGGGAAACCGGGGCUAAUACCGGAUGGUUGUUUGAACCGCAUGGUUCAGACAUAAAAGGUGGCUUCGGCUACCACUUACAGAUGGACCCGCGGCGCAUUAGCUAGUUGGUGAGGUAACGGCUCACCAAGGCAACGAUGCGUAGCCGACCUGAGAGGGUGAUCGGCCACACUGGGACUGAGACACGGCCCAGACUCCUACGGGAGGCAGCAGUAGGGAAUCUUCCGCAAUGGACGAAAGUCUGACGGAGCAACGCCGCGUGAGUGAUGAAGGUUUUCGGAUCGUAAAGCUCUGUUGUUAGGGAAGAACAAGUGCCGUUCAAAUAGGGCGGCACCUUGACGGUACCUAACCAGAAAGCCACGGCUAACUACGUGCCAGCAGCCGCGGUAAUACGUAGGUGGCAAGCGUUGUCCGGAAUUAUUGGGCGUAAAGGGCUCGCAGGCGGUUUCUUAAGUCUGAUGUGAAAGCCCCCGGCUCAACCGGGGAGGGUCAUUGGAAACUGGGGAACUUGAGUGCAGAAGAGGAGAGUGGAAUUCCACGUGUAGCGGUGAAAUGCGUAGAGAUG
rnacentral:rRNA from 1 species